rnacentral:misc_RNA from 1 species
GGGUUUCUGACCUAGCUGACAAAUGGUUUUCGACACUUCUGUUAGGCAUGUAUUCAUACACCAAAAGCCGCUGAAUUCCUCUCUCGUCAUCUUCUGCACAGUAGCCAACUAAUUUGACGAGGUUUUUAUGUUCAGCAACACCGAGAACAUUGACUUCUGUCACCCACUCUUUGUGUCCCUGUAAUCCUCUCCUACCAAGUUGUUUUAUAGCCACGUCAAUCUUUUUCGAUGAGUCCUCACCAGUCUUUACUGUGGCCUUAUAUACACAUCCAAAUCCACCUUCCCCAAUCUUAGUAGUACGGUUGAAAUUCUUUGUUGCUGCUUUCAGUUCUGAGAAUGUAAAUGCCCUGAGAUCAGAAGGUCUAUCUGAUAGGCUUGGAAUUUGGCUCCUUCCUCUAGACUCUGAGCUGGUAUCUGAUACAUUCUGAGAGCUGGACUCACGAUGAGAAUGCCGAAAUUCACUAUCAAAAAGACCAAAAGAGGAGGACAGAACUGGAUUUGACUUCGUGGUUUUAGGUUCUUCCUUCUUCUCAGCAUUGUAGAACGGAAAACACUUCAUGUCCUUAAGUAUGCUACUAAAAUACCCUCCCAGAAAUGUAGAAAACCCACCAUCUACGGGACACGAGAUUCAAUCUUUUUCAGUUCUUGGAUAGCCAAAAGCCCAAUUUUACAAUUCCUUUAGGCUGCUAAAUCUGAACCCACAGCAUAAACUUUAUCUCAAUCAGAAAUGUAGAAAACCCACCAUCUACGGGACACGAGAUUCAAUCUUUUUCAGUUCUUGGAUAGCCAAAAGCCCAAUUUUACAAUUCCUUUAGGCUGCUAAAUCUGAACCCACAGCAUAAACUUUAUCUCAAU